rnacentral:rRNA from 1 species
UACGAAGGGGGCUAGCGUUGUUCGGAAUUACUGGGCGUAAAGCGCACGUAGGCGGGUUGUUAAGUCAGGGGUGAAAUCCUGGAGCUCAACUCCAGAACUGCCUUUGAUACUGGCAACCUAGAGACUGGAAGAGGUUAGUGGAAUUCCCAGUGUAGAGGUGAAAUUCGUAGAUAUUGGGAAGAACACCAGUGGCGAAGGCGGCUCACUGGACUGGUAUUGACGCUGAGGUGCGAAAGCGUGGGGAGCAAACAGG